ensembl:snRNA U5 U5 spliceosomal RNA
CAACUCUGGUUUCUCUUCAGGUCACAUAAGUCUUUCACCUUUUACUAAAGAUUUCCGUGGAGAGGAACAAUUCUGAGCCAUAAACUAAUUUUUUGAGGCCUUGCUUUGGUGAGGCU